rnacentral:rRNA from 1 species
CCUACGGGUGGCUGCAGUGAGGAAUAUUGGUCAAUGGGCGAGAGCCUGAACCAGCCAAGUCGCGUGAAGGAUGACGGCCCUACGGGUUGUAAACUUCUUUUGUCAGGGAGCAAUUGAGUCCACGUGUGGGCUUAGCGAGAGUACCUGAAGAAAAAGCAUCGGCUAACUCCGUGCCAGCAGCCGCGGUAAUACGUAGGAUGCGAGCGUUAUCCGGAUUUAUUGGGGUUAAAGGGUGCGUAUGCGGAAUAUCAAGUCAGCGGUAAAAAUUCGGGGCUCAACCCCGUCGUGCCGUUGAAACUGAUGUUCUUGAGUGGGCGAGAAGUAUGCGGAAUGCGUGGUGUAGCGGUGAAAUGCAGAGAUAUCACGCAGAACCCCGAUUGCGAAGGCAGCCUUCCGGCGCCCUACUGACGCUGAGGCACGAAAGUGCGGGGAUCGAACAGGAUUAGAUACCCGUGUAGUC